rnacentral:rRNA from 1 species
AGUCCUACGGGAGGCAGCAGUGAGGGAUAUUGGUCAAUGGUCGGGAGACUGAACCAGCCAAGCCGCGUGAGGGAGGAAGGUACAGAGUAUCGUAAACCUCUUUUGUCAGGGGACAAAGACUGGGACGCGUCCCCGGAUGAGUGUACCUGAAGAAAAAGCAUCGGCUAACUCCGUGCCAGCGGCCGCGGUAAUACGGAGGAUGCGAGCGUUAUCCGGAUUUAUUGGGUUUAAAGGGUGCGCAGGCGGAAGAUCAAGUCAGCGGUAAAAUUGUGAG